rnacentral:rRNA from 1 species
AUACGUAGGUGGCAAGCAUUGUCCGGAUUUACUGGGUGUAAAGGGCGUGUAGGCGGAGAUGCAAGUCAGGAGUGAAAUCUAGGGGCUCAACCCCUAAACUGCUUUUGAAACUGUAUCCCUUGAGUAUCGGAGAGGCAGGCGGAAUUCCUAUUGUAGCGGUGACAUGCGUAGAUAUUAGGAGGAACACCAGAGGCGAAGGCGGCCUGCUGGACGACAACUGACGCUGAGGCGCGAAAGCGUGGGGAGCAAACAGGAUUAGAUACCCUGGUAGUCCACGCUGUAAACGAUGAAUACUAGGUGUGGGGGGACUGACCCCCUCCGUGCCGCAGUUAACACAAUAAGUAUUCCACCUGGGGAGUACGAUCGCAAGAUUGAAACUCAAAUGAAUUGACGGGG